UGAUAAGCCAUGCGAGUCGAGAGUCGUAAUGGACUCGGCGGACUGCUCAGUAACACGUGGAUAACGUGCCCUUAAGAGGAGGAUAAUCUCGGGAAAUUGAGGAUAAUACUCCAUAGAUCAUGGGAUCUGGAAUGACCCAUGGUUCAAAGUUCCGGCGCUUAAGGAUCGGUCUGCGGCCUAUCAGGUAGUAGUAGGUGUAACGUACCUACUAGCCUACGACGGGUAUGGGCCUUGAGAGAGGGAGCCCAGAGUUGGAUUCUGAGACACGAAUCCAGGCCCUACGGGGCGCAGCAGUCGCGAAAACUUCACAAUGGGGGCAACCCCGAUGAGGGAAUUCCUAGUGCUAGCACAUUUGUGUUAGCUUUUCUUUAGCUUAGAAAACUAGAGGAAUAAGGGCUGGGUAAGACGGGUGCCAGCCGCCGCGGUAAUACCUGCAGCCCAAGUGGUGGUCGAUUUUAUUGAGUCUAAAACGUUCGUAGCCGGUUCGGUAAAUCUUUGGGUAAGUCGGGGGGCUUAACCUCCCGACUUCCGAGGAGACUGCCGAACUUGGGACCGGGAGAGGCUAGAGGUACUUCUGGGGUAGGGGUAAAAUCCUGUAAUCCUAGAAGGACCACCGGUGGCGAAGGCGUCUAGCUAGAACGGAUCCGACGGUGAGGGACGAAGCCCUGGGUCGCAAACGGGAUUAGAUACCCCGGUAGUCCAGGGUGUAAACGCUGCAGACUUGGUGUUGGAGGCCCUUUGGGGGCAUCCAGUGCCGGAGAGAAGUUGUUAAGUCUGCUACUUGGGGAGUACGUCCGCAAGGAUGAAACUUUAAAGGAAUUGGC
rnacentral:rRNA from 1 species